GCCGCCGCCGCCUCGGCCGCGAAGCGAUGUAGGAGCCGCCAGGCCGUCCCCCGUCCCGCCCGGCCUGAGCCUCGCGGGCCGCCGCCGCCGUCGCCAUGAAGAAGCAGUUCAACCGCAUGAAGCAGCUGGCCAACCAGACCGUGGGCAGAGCCGAGAAAACAGAAGUCCUCAGUGAAGAUCUGUUACAGAUUGAGCGGCGCUUGGACACAGUGCGCUCCAUGUGUCACCAUUCCCACAAGCGCCUGGUGGCCUGCUUCCAGGGGCAGCAUGGCACCGAUGCCGAGAGGAGACACAAAAAACUCCCUCUGACAGCUCUCGCUCAGAAUAUGCAAGAAGCAUCAACUCAGCUAGAAGACUCUCUCCUGGGGAAGAUGCUGGAGACGUGUGGAGAUGCUGAGAAUCAGCUGGCUCUGGAACUCUCUCAGCAUGAAGUCUUUGUCGAGAAGGAGAUUGUGGACCCUCUGUACGGCAUAGCAGAGGUAGAGAUUCCUAACAUCCAGAAACAGAGGAAGCAGCUCGCCAAAUUGGUUUUAGACUGGGACUCGGUCAGAGCCAGAUGGAACCAGGCUCACAAAUCUUCAGGAACCAACUUUCAGGGGCUUCCAUCAAAAAUAGAUACCCUAAAGGAAGAGAUGGAUGAAGCUGGAAAUAAAGUAGAACAGUGCAAGGAUCAACUUGCAGCAGAUAUGUACAACUUUAUGGCCAAAGAAGGGGAGUACGGCAAAUUUUUUGUUACGUUAUUAGAAGCUCAAGCAGAUUACCAUAGAAAAGCAUUAGCAGUCUUAGAAAAGGCCCUUCCCGAAUUGCGAACCCAUCAAGAUAAGUGGGCAGAGAAGCCCGCCUUCGGGACGCCUUUGGAAGAACACCUGAAGCGGAGCGGGCGCGAGAUCGCGCUGCCCCUCGAGGCCUGCGUCAUGCUGCUCCUGGAGACGGGCAUGAAGGAGGAGGGCCUUUUCCGAAUUGGGGCUGGGGCCUCCAAGUUAAAGAAACUGAAAGCUGCUUUAGACUGUUCUACUUCUCACCUGGAUGAGUUCUACUCAGACCCCCAUGCUGUAGCAGGUGCUUUAAAGUCCUAUUUACGGGAACUGCCUGAACCAUUGAUGACUUUUAAUUUGUAUGAAGAAUGGACACAAGUUGCAAGUGUACAGGAUCAAGACAAAAAACUUCAGGAUUUAUGGAGAACAUGUCAGAAGUUGCCACCACAAAAUUUUGUUAACUUUAGGUAUUUAAUCAAGUUCCUCGCAAAGCUUGCUCAGACCAGUGACAUUAAUAAAAUGACUCCCAGCAACAUUGCAAUCGUGUUAGGCCCUAACUUGUUAUGGGCCAAAAAUGAAGGAACGCUAGCCGAAAUGGCAGCGGCCACAUCCGUCCACGUGGUUGCUGUCAUUGAACCCAUCAUUCAGCAUGCCAACUGGUUCUUCCCCGAAGAGGUGGAAUUUAAUGUAUCAGAAGCAUUCGUACCUCUCACCACCCCAAAUUCCAAUCACUCAUCCCACACUGGAAAUGACUCUGUUGACUUGGGGACCCUGGAGAGGAAGCGGCCUGCCAGCAUGGCGGUGAUGGAGGGGGACCUGGUGAAGAAGGAGAGCUUUGGUGUGAAGCUUAUGGACUUCCAGGCUCACCGGCGGGGUGGCACCCUAAAUAGAAAGCACAUAUCCCCUGCUUUCCAGCCGCCACUCCCGCCCACAGAUGGCAGCACCUUGGCUCCAGCGGGCCCAGAGCCCCCUCCCCAGAGCUCUAGGGCCGAAAGCAGCACAGGGGGUGGGACUGUCCCCUCCUCUGCGGGCAUACUGGAGCAGGGGCCCAGCCCGGGCGACAGCAGUCCUCCAAAGCCCAAGGACCCUGCGGCUGCACCUGCACCCGGGAGGAACAGCAGUCAGGCGGCCCCCGGCCAAAGCCAGGCCCAGGCCACUGCCGGCUCCCAUCAGCUCGCCGUGGGCCCUACGCACAAUUCCGCCGGCCCGAGCCCUCACACGGUGCGCCGAGCUGUUAAAAAACCUGCUCCAGCACCCCCGAAACCUGGAAACCCGCCUCCUGGCCAUCCCGGGGGCCAGAGUUCUCCAGGCACAUCUCAGCAUCCACCCAGCCUGUCACCAAAGCCGUCCACCCGAAGCCCUUCCCCCCCGACUCAGCCGCCCGGCCAGGCCCCAGGCCAGCCCAGCGCCACCUCGCAGCUCUCCGCACCCCGGAGAUACUCCAGCAGCCUGUCUCCGAUCCAAGCCCCCAACCACCCGCCGCCGCAGCCCCCCACGCAGGCCACACCGCCGCCAGCGCUCGCCAAGCCAGGCAGCCAGGGCCCGCUGGCCCCCGGGGCCCCGCCCGGUGAGCCCGGACUCGAGCAGUCCUCCCACACCCCUCCCCAGACGCCGACGCCCCCCAGCACUCCGCCCCUAGGGAAACAGAACCCCGGCCAGGUGGUGAGUAACCCCGAGACCGCGCAGCCACACGCUGGAACCUUGCCGAGACCGAGACCAGUACCAAAGCCGAGGAACCGGCCCAGCGUGCCCCCACCCCCUCAUCCUCCUGGCGCCCACCCCGCCGGGGAUGGCAGCCUCAGCAUCGCAGCUCCCACCUCCUCCAGAAUAGUCACGGAUGCCCUUCCUAGCGCCCUCACAGGUGGGGAAGGUUUCCAGGACUAAGGUCUGUAACCCCCCCAAGCAGCUUCCUGCAGCUCGAAAUGCUCCUGCUUAGCGAUGUUUUGCAGACGUGCUUUUGACUCUGUGCUCAGGAGCAGCCAUCUGACCCCCUGCCAUCCAUGCUCUAGACAUCACUUUCGUUUUUAUCAGAAGCACUUUGAGCUGCAGUGCUCCGAAUUCAAGAGGUAGAUGUCAGUAGAUUGCAAGCCCGAUUUCAAGCCGCUCAGAUAAGAUACUAAGAAAUGUCUCCUUUCUUUUUGAUGUAUGACCUGCCAUAUUCAAUAGGAACUGAAAUUGGAAUAUUUAAUGGUAGAAUGUGGAAGGUGCUCAGUAAGUACCUGUUUAUGAAUGAAGGAAUCUGAGGCUCACCGUCUCACUAGGAAGAGGGCUGUGAUUGGUUAAGGUGUCUUGUGAGCAUGGGAGCGAGGGAUGAUGGCUCAAGGACCGUGUAUUUACCGUCUUGCUGAAGGAGUUCCAGCCAACAUAAUAAGACGUGAAAAAGGAAUUGGAGGGUUGCAUCUCUGAGGACUGCCGUGCGCUCACAGAAAGGACCACCAGAGCCAGGAGGUGGGGCUGUGCCACGUGGCUGGCUGCCCCUGGGGUGUCAAAGGCUUGACUCAACUUCUCAGGGCUGAUGGUGCCUCUAACGCCAAUUCUAGGGUUUCAGAACCGCUUCGCAGCAUCUUUCCUGAAAUGCAUUCAGACUCAGCCAGCAAAGACCUGCCCGGCCGCAUUC